UACAGAGGGUGCAAGCGUUGUUCGGAAUCACUGGGCGUAAAGCGCGCGCAGGCGGAUGGUUGCGUCCGGAGUGAAAUUUCGCCGCUCAACGGCGAAGCUGCUUUGGAUACGGACCGUCUAGGGACCGGUAGAGGCUGGUAGAAUUGCAGGUGUAGCGGUGGAAUGCGUAGAGAUCUGCAAGAAUACCCGUGGCGAAGGCGGCCAGCUGGGCCGGAUCCGACGCUGAGGCGCGAAAGCGUGGGGAGCGAUCCGG
rnacentral:rRNA from 1 species